rnacentral:rRNA from 1 species
UACGUAGGGUGCGAGCGUUAAUCGGAAUUACUGGGCGUAAAGCGCGCGCAGGCGGUUCGUUGUGUCGGUGGUGAAAGCCCCGGGCUUAACCUGGGAAUGGCCGUUGAAACUGGCGAACUGGAGUGUGGCAGAGGGGGGUGGAACUCCGCGUGUAGCAGUGAAAUGCGUAGAGAUGCGGAGGAACACCGAUGGCGAAGGCAGCCCCCUGGGCUAACACUGACGCUCAGGCACGAAAGCGUGGGGAGCAAACAGG